rnacentral:rRNA from 1 species
CAGUCGCCGCGGUAAUACGAAGGGGGCUAGCGUUGUUCGGAUUUACUGGGCGUAAAGGGCGCGUAGGCGGACUGAUAAGUCAGGGGUGAAAUCCCAAGGCUCAACCUUGGAACUGCCUUUGAUACUGUUUGUCUUGAGUUCGAGAGAGGUAAGUGGAACUGCGAGUGUAGAGGUGAAAUUCGUAGAUAUUCACGAGAACACCAGUGGCGAAGGCGGCUUACUGGCUCGAAACUGACGCUGAGGCGCGAAAGCGUGGGGAGCAAACAGGAUUAGAUACCCCCGUAGUCCCUGUCUCUUAUAC